rnacentral:rRNA from 1 species
UAUGUGUGACGGCGUGCCUUUUGUAGAAUGAACCGGCGAGUUACGAUAGCGUGCGAGGUUAAGUCGAAGAGACGGAGCCGUAGCGAAAGCGAGUCUGAAUAGGGCGAAAGUACGUUGUCGUAGACCCGAAACCGUGUGAUCUAGCCAUGUCCAGGGUGAAGGUAGGGUAACACCUACUGGAGGCCCGAACCCACGCACGUUGAAAAGU